UAGGGAAUCUUCCACAAUGAGCGCAAGCCUGAUGGAGCAACACCGCGUGAGUGAAGAAGGUUUCGGCUCGUAAAGCUCUGUUGUUGGAGAAGAACGUGCGUGAGAGUAACUGUUCACGCAGUGACGGUAUCCAACCAGAAAGUCACGGCUAACUACGUGCC
rnacentral:rRNA from 1 species